AUGCAUUCUUCAAAACCCCCCAACUGCUUGUUUUAGCUUUUGGGACAAGCAAGAAUGCAAGAUCAACAUCUAGAACUAUCCAAGGUUGAGGGUCUUCUUGUGACCUUUGGCUAUUUCACCUCUAGUACACUA